rnacentral:rRNA from 1 species
UUGGUUCAGAUUGAACGCUGGCGGCAUGCCUUACACAUGCAAGUCGAACGGCAGCAUGAUCUAGCUUGCUAGAUUGAUGGCGAGUGGCGAACGGGUGAGUAAUACAUCGGAACGUGCCCUGUAGUGGGGGAUAACUAGUCGAAAGAUUAGCUAAUACCGCAUACGACCUGAGGGUGAAAGUGGGGGACCGCAAGGCCUCAUGCUAUAGGAGCGGCCGAUGUCUGAUUAGCUAGUUGGUGGGGUAAAGGCCCACCAAGGCGACGAUCAGUAGCUGGUCUGAGAGGACGAUCAGCCACACUGGGACUGAGACACGGCCCAGACUCCUACGGGAGGCAGCAGUGGGGAAUUUUGGACAAUGGGGGCAACCCUGAUCCAGCAAUGCCGCGUGUGUGAAGAAGGCCUUCGGGUUGUAAAGCACUUUUGUCCGGAAAGAAAUCGCACUUACUAAUAUUAGGUGUGGA